UACGGGGGGAGCAAGCGUUGUUCGGAUUUACUGGGCGUAAAGGGCGCGUAGGCGGCCAGCACAGGUCAGUUGUGAAAUCUCCGAGCUUAACUCGGAAAGGUCAACUGAUACUGUGCGGCUAGAGUGCGGAAGGGGCAACUGGAAUUCUUGGUGUAGCGGUGAAAUGCGUAGAUAUCAAGAGGAACACCUGCGGCGAAGGCGGGUUGCUGGGCCGACACUGACGCUGAUGCGCGAAAGCUAGGGGAGCGAACGGG
rnacentral:rRNA from 1 species